rnacentral:lncRNA from 1 species
AUUACGUCGAAAUAGCUCGAGCUGUAAUCUAGGGUAAAUAAUAAUUCCUUUUCGUAUUCAUCAAGGUGCUUCUAAGUGUGAGUGCCAGGAGGCUUGCUCUGUUGCCCAGGCUUGAGUGCGGUGGCACGAUCUUGGCUCACUGCAACCUCCACCUCCUGAGUUCAAGCAAUUCUCCUGCCUCACCCUCCUGAGUAGCUGGGACUACAGGCCUGCACCACCACACCUGGCUAACUUCUGAAUAUCAAGCUGAAAUUACUAUCAGAUAUCUUGCCACCACAUGGAGGCUUUGAGUGAAGUCUGCAUGGAGGAGAACAGAGCUGAGAGAUGGAAAGACACUGAAUCCCAGUGACAUCCUUUGAGAUGUUGGAUCAAGCUGAGCUGGGCGUGAAGAUAGAGCUACUCCUAUACUUUUAAGAUACCAAUAACAAGCAAGAUUCAGAAGUCCAACAAGUAAGACAUUGAUUUCAUUCAGAGAAAACUAGUAAGCAAGCUAUUUGGGAAGUAUACUCUCAUAAAAAUAUUGUUUCAUGAAGUCUUGAGCAACACAGGAAAUAGUAAGUAAG